GCAGGGGUGGGCGCUGCUGUUGCCAUCGCAGAGAAAAGAAUAGAUGCGCGAGAGAGAUGAGAGUGAGAUCACAGGCCUUCCACGGAGAAAGAGGAAAGUGCGUGACGUAGAAGAGGGAGGAGGGAGUCUUGUCAUCGUUGCUGUGCCCGUCGCCGCCCACUGCAGUUGAUUGAGACUGUCGCCGCCCCGGUUGAGGUCAUCAUCGUUGCCAACUAGGGCAGAGAAGGAGGACGCGAAUGGGAGGGAGAAAGGGGAGCUCUGCUGGAGCUCGUCGCCAAAGUGCUGUCGCCUUCCACCACCGUGACACAGAGCCAGCCUUCUGUUUCUCCAUCGACAUUGGGGUUGCCUCCGUUGCAGGUGGAGGAGGUCACCGGAGAAGGAUUGUUCUGUUCUGCUUCUGGUUUUGGUUUUCCAUUGGUUGCCGGAGUCUCUAGGGCCAUGAAAGUUGCUGCCGGAGUCGUCGCCGCCAAGAGCCACCACUGCUAUACCUUUCCCUUGAAGUGGUAGCGAUGCUGCUGUUGUUGUCGAGAUGACAUUCGAGACGUAGUCGUUGGUGCUGUUUGAAUUGAAGUUGCUGUCACUGGCUCGGUCCAAACUCUGUGUUCUGUCGUUUCAUUCUAUUCCAACCUUUCUCAGCUUUUAAUUCGGCAUUUCGGGUUCGGUUUCUUCGGUCCCUUAGGACCAAGUUGAACAAAUACUUGACCAUGUGAGACUUUCUAAUCAAGAGUCACGAUCUACAAUGAGUAUCUAUUUUUGUCGAGUCCUAGAUGUAUAUGCUCCAUAUGUCACAGGCAGGAUCCAUUCAUAUUUAUUUAUUUUACCUUUUGUUAAAAACAUGUAAUUAUUCAUUUUAGAAACUGUAAAGUUAUUUUAAAAUAUUUGUAAUUUUCUUAUUGAAUUUAUCUUUGAGUCGGUUAGGCUUGCUAGGGAUUAUUUUCCUGAGCGCCGGUCAUGGCUCGUUUUGGGCUGUGACAAAGUGGUAUCAGAGCUUAGGUUUAAUCUGUGUAAUAUGGAGCAAGUGUCCUAUGGUAGGAUCACAGUUGUAUAAAUAGGAGCGCGCCUAUUUGUACAAAUUGUGGCACUAUCAAAGGCCUAUAGGAAUGUCCUCUUUGUCCUCUAUGUCAUUGUUGUCUUCUGAUUACUGUGAUCAUCUGUCAUCUGCCACUUCUUACUACUCUUGU